rnacentral:rRNA from 1 species
GACGAACGCUGGCGGCGUGCUUAACACAUGCAAGUCGAACGGAAAGGCCCUGCUUUUGUGGGGUGCUCGAGUGGCGAACGGGUGAGUAACACGUGAGUAACCUGCCCUUGACUUUGGGAUAACUUCAGGAAACUGGGGCUAAUACCGGAUAGGAGCUCCUGCUGCAUGGUGGGGGUUGGACAGUUUCGGCGGUUGGGGAUGGACUCGCGGCUUAUCAGCUUGUUGGUGGGGUAGUGGCUUACCAAGGCUUUGCCGGGUAGCCGGCCUGAGCGGGGGACCGGCGACAUUGGGACGGGGGUGCGGCCCAGACGCCUACGGGAGGAAGCAGUGGGGAGUAUUGCACAAUGGGCGGAAGCCUGAUGCAGCAACGCCGCGGGCGGGAUGACGGGCUUCGGGUUGUAAACCGCUUUCGCCUGUGAGGAAGCGUGAGUGACGGUAAUGGGUAAAGAAGCACCGGCUAACUACGUG